GAUGAACGCUGGCGGCGUGCCUAAUACAUGCAAGUCGAGCGAACGGACGAGAAGCUUGCUUCUCUGAUGUUAGCGGCGGACGGGUGAGUAACACGUGGAUAACCUACCUAUAAGACUGGGAUAACUUCGGGAAACCGGAGCUAAUACCGGAUAAUAUUUUGAACCGCAUGGUUCAAAAGUGAAAGACGGUCUUGCUGUCACUUAUAGAUGGAUCCGCGCUUCAUUAGCUAGUUGGUAAGGUAACGGCUUACCAAGGCAACGAUGCAUAGCCGACCUGAGAGGGUGAUCGGCCACACUGGAACUGAGACACGGUCCCGACUCCGACGGGAGGCAGCAGUAGGGAAUCUUCCGCGAUGGGGGAAAGCCUGACGGAGCAAAGCCGCGUGAGUGAUGAAGGUCUUCGGAUCGUAAAACUCUGUUAUUAGGGAAGAACAUAUGUGUAAGUAACUGUGCACAUAUUGACGGUACCUAAUCAGAAAGCCACGGCUAACUACGUG
rnacentral:rRNA from 1 species